rnacentral:lncRNA from 1 species
CUGUCAAUAGCAGUAAAUGCUCAUGUUUCGUUAUACCCCCCAAAUAUGCCCUUUAAUUGCCUAAUUGCAUGUCCCUGAAUGCCCCUUGAUUUCUCAUUUUCCUAUACUUGGAACUGCACUUUAUACAUGUUUAUGGAAUGAAGACAUGGUGUGACUUUCUUCCCUCAUUUGCUUUGUUCACUCCAUUCUCCUGCAGGUCUGCUCACCUCUUGCGGGUAUUUCCAGUUGGUGUGCUGUUUCUCUCUGUUUGCUAACGUACUCUGUUACAGCACUGGCUCAGGCUGAACGGUGACUAGUAAUUUCAUAUUUCCUUUCUUAGUAAGGUGUUUGGGGACAAGAGUUGGUUUUUUUUUUGGUGUCUUGUCGACAUAGUUGCAUUUCUAUUCAACAAAUACAUAUUGUAUUCCUACUGUAUGUCAGGCACUGUGCUGAGUGCUAGAAGUAAACAAAACAGGCAAGGAAAGUUCUGGCAUUCGUCGAACUUCAGAGGUAGUAUUUUUAAUCAUACAUUUUUUAUGUUACAUUUUCUCAUUUUGUCCCCAACAAUUUUUUAUCCAUGUUUUCUCUAAUACAUUUUAUUCUUAUGAAAUUUUAUCUUUAAGUCAUUUAAUACAUUGAUUUUUUUUUUAUAGUUGCAUCUUCAGUUGUUAUGCAAUAUGUGUGUUUCAGAAACCAAGUGUACUAAAUCUUUAGGUUGAAAUUUAUAUACUAUUUUGGUUAGUAGUUCACUCUUCUUGGUUAUUUACUUAAAAUUUUUUUUAAAUGAUUUUUAUUUUCUCCAUUAUAGUUGGUUGACAAUGUUCUGUCAAUUUCUGCUACACAGCAAAGUGACCCAGUCAUUCAUAUAUAUAUGUAAUAGUCUUUUUCUCACAUUAUCCUCCAUCAUGUUCCAUCACAAGUGACUAGAUAUAGUUCCCUGUGCUACACAACAGGAUCUCAUUGCUUGUCCACUCCAGAUUUAAAUUCUCAAUAUUCAGUCUCAAGGACAGUAUGUCUUACACAUUUUAGAAUACAAGUUUGAGGGUCUAAAUUAUUUUUCCUCAAGUAUUUUAGUGUUCAGUAUAGCAUGCCAAAUACAUAACAGGCGCUUAAUGAACAUUUGUUCAUGAUAAUAGCCUCUUUGGUUUUCUGUUUCAUUGAAUUUUACCCAAGAUGAUUAUUCUUGACUGACUUUUAAAUGGCUAAAUAAAUGCUUAACCUUCAGUAUGAUAAUUAUAAUAACUUUUUCUCAUUAUGAAUCGCAAUGAUACACACUUUUUCUCUUCUCUUCCCAUUUGACUCUUGAAAAUAUUAAUGUGUAAUUUGAAAGUGUCUUUGUUUCACAAUUGCUAAUCUAUUUGAAGCAUUUUGAAAAUGUGCAUAUUCAUUUUAUAAAUUAAUGCCUCCAGAAAUAAAAUUAAGGCCAAUGUAGAGAAGGGNGAGCUCUUGGGACCCUCCAUAUGCCGCGGAAGCGGCCCUAGAAAAGACAAAAAAAAAAAAAAACCAAAACAAAACCUAUUCCUUGGAAAGGCAAUAAUUUAAUGAAUCAGCUACUACAUCUCCCUCUCAGAGUUCAAGGGCCUGGGCACAUGUACCCACAUAUAUAUGCAUGUGUGUUCAUAUAUUGCCCUGUACAUGUGAAGAGCAUAGGUCCUUCUCUCCCCAUAAGACCUUCCAACUUUUAUGAAGGUGCGUAUGCAUGUGAAGAGUUACUUGAACCUGACAUUCAUAAAGAGGAUGUCAACUAAGAAUAAAAUCAAUAUUGCAUCAGAUAUUUUAAGGCUCUUAAAAUGAGGUAAUUAAAAGGAACAAUCUCAGAAUUUUAUUUCUUUGAUUUUCCUCCCCACUCCCAGGCUUAGCCUAGUUUUUAUGUAACUAUGGUUUAAUACUAGUGUUGUGUAAACCUUAAUAUGUCUUUGUUAGUCUUUUCUGUUCCCCCUUCCCUCUUAGGCUUGGAAUUAAACUUGCCCUUACCUAUUAAUGUUUAAUAACAACGGUAAAGUUGGAGUUAGAGUAAAUGCAUGUUAUCUUUUAAAUUAAUUAACUACUUCCGUCAUUCAACACUAAAUAUCUUGGUUUUUAGAAGAUAGAAGAGAAGACCCUUGCUCUUCUCUUUUCUUUUUCUUGCCAAUCUCGUUGUCUUAUAAUUAAUUUGGCUUUUUUCUUUUUUCCCCCCAAGAAAACAGAAAGGGUAGGAUUUAAGGAUUAUUUGACUUUCAUUCAGUUAUUUAUUAUUGAACUGUGCUUGCUGCUGGCAGGAAUAUUUCUCUACUGCCUUAGUUUGUAUUGAAUAAUGCAUUAAACUAUAUAUAUUGUGACUCAGUCUCUAAAUGUAUAGAAUUAAUCUUUUUUCUACUUGUGUUUGGAGCACUACAGUUAAUAGUUUAAAAGCUGAGAGGCUUAUUUUUUCUAUUUGUAUACUAACUUUUUUUUUUUUUUUAAUGCUUCUCCAUUGUACCCCCCUCCACCUUUGCUGGCAGUCAUCCUUUUUUUGUGCGUGUUUAAGAACUUCUAUGUCUGUUCCUUAUUAACUCUCCAGCCCCUUCUCUCGUCACUUCCUAAUCAUUAGCCCCAACUGCUCUGAAUUACUUGUAGUUCCUGAAAUAUAUCCUGUUUUCUCCUCCCUCCAUGCCUUCGCAUAUGCUGUUCCCUAGGCUUGGAGUGUUCUUCUGCGUGGCCUGACAAACUCCAUUUCCCAUCGCCUGGCAAACUCUCUGCAGCAUGUUCACAGAUCAUUUCCUGGAGUCGCUUCACGAUACUUCCUUCUAUCUGUACUUCCACAGCAUCCUUUGUGAGCUUCCAAGGUCAUUACAUGUAUUGUUGGUCACCUUAUUUGACUGUGAGCUCUGAGAACACAAAUGGACUCUUGCCUCUCCCUCUCUCCGUGCUUUGCACAGAAUUGAAUGAAUUCAGUUGCCACAAUGAUUAUGCAAGAACUCGUUCAUACCUGCAUUUUAUAGUUCACAAAACUGAUGUUAAUUUGCCCAGCGACACAGUUAUUAAGUGGUGGAGCCAGGAUUUGACCCAGGCCUGGUUUGAUGCCACGGUCUCUGGUUAUUUCAUUUUGCCAUGCUGCUUCCCGAGCCAUAUAAAUAUAAUUGAUGAUGGGCAGUAGUGUGAAAAACAUGGACUUGGACAUCAGGCAGAUCUCAGUUUGAGCUCUAGUUCGCCAUUUAACCAACUGUUGGAAAGUUUCAUAAUCUCUAUAAAUCUCUAUUUUUCUCUUUUGUAAAAUGUGGCUAAUAGCAUUACCUACUUCAGAAGAUUGCUGUGAGAAUUAAGUGAAAUAACAUAGGAAGAUGAUUUUAUGCAGUGCUGGGCAUAUGAUCUACUUACCUUAUAGGUUGCAGUUGUUUCAGGUAAGCAUAUAUAGCUGUGAGCAAAAGAAAGAUUGACUAGCAAAGACUU